GUGUCUUAAUUAUACUUUAGCAACUGUUGCCUAACAUGCACACUAUUGUUUAAAAAACCUCCAGCCCUGUAAGCACAGCAGCUCAGGCUGUGUGUGGGCUUUAACUUUUCUCUUUUCUCCCUUCACCAUACUGGUGAGUCUUUCAGCACAGCCGUCUUCAAGAGUUAAUCCACAUUUAGGGUUUGUAUUUAAACAUCAACUCAGUAUUUGUGAACUAAAUCUACACAGCAGGUGUUAAUUGAGUGCUAAUUUAUUUAAAUUCCUCCUGAUGAAAGUGAUUAAGGGAGGAAGCAUGUCCCUGGAUGUUGGAGAGGUUAUUUUGUUUGUUGUUGCUUUUUAUUUUUUAUUAAAAAAAGAAAAAAUCACAUAGUUUGUCCAGAGGGAAUUGAGUACUUUAAAAAGUAAAUAAAAGACAGUAAGUGUAGCAUGAUCGCUUGUGGUGUAGGAAGCUGUGAGCAUGCUAAAGGUCAAGCUCUGUGCUCAGACAGGCUCUCUGGCUUCCCGGGGACUUCAAUGAGGGUGCAGUGCAUUCGUUUCAGAACUGAAGUUGGCUGCAAGGCAUCAAUUUGAGGACAGCUUCGUACACUCAAGAGGCUGAACGCAACCGGGAGACUUGUAUGAAUGAGAAGGAACAGGAAAAAGUGACAUCCAGAAGUGGUGAAUGGAAACAUGAGGUGACGCCACUUGGUCAAGGCUCCAGAGGAACUUGGUGGCAACAGAGCAGUUACUUGAAAUUUCCAGAGGAGAAGCUUGAGGUGAAUUCUCAUAAACGCCAUGAAAAUCUUCAGCUUCACUCUUUGAAUUCAUCUGACUGAAGUUUGUGGCUUCCGCUCGAUUCCCCAGCCCCGGGGUGUCCGUGCUGUAGGACGGCAGGCUGGGCACGUCACGAUCCUUGGCUGCAGCUUGGCUGUUCCUCGUGAAGGUGUGCCCUGGGUGGCCAUCCCACAGCGUAUCCUGACAGUCAGCCAGAUCCUUCUGCCCUGCAGCCCUGAUGUUUUACAGCUGGUGGAGCUGUAGAUGAAACCUCCUGAGCCCUGCCUGCCCAUGCUCUUGCUGUGCAGAAGAGAAAGUCGAGGUGAAAGCAGAGGAAUUGGGUUCUUCAACACUGCUGUAAAUAGCUGUAUCCAGUGGUUCUGAGCAGAAUGGUCCUCAGCUCCUACGUGAAGGUAGGGAGACACGUUUCCUGAUAGGUAACUGACACAUUUUCUCAUAUGUUACUGCACAACCGGUCAGCUUCCUCCUGUGCUGAGACCAGUUUGGGCUGGGGACUGACUCCAGAAGCUGUGGUUUGCACUCAGAGGCACUGCCUGUUGCUGUGUGCUGAAAGCAGCCCCAUUACCAUCUCCCUGGUGUCCCAUUGCUGCUUCACCAGCCUGGCUCACCUGCAUCAUGCUGUGUGCAGGCAGGAGGAAAGGGAGAGGUUUGGGAUAAGGGCUGUCACCCCAUCCUCUUGCUCCUUCGCUCCUCUCCAGCGUGUGCUCACAGAUAACGUGUGGCAUGACGUGGCUGGUGUCUUCUGGGUGAGCUUCCUGCUGGGUGCUGCAGCACAACGUAGGGAUGCCCGAGCCCAGCUGGGACAAGCAGCAGUGCUUUUUCUGCAGGCUCAGCUGGGGGACACCUAACAGGUAGGAUGUUACUGGUUUUGGCACCCAUCCUGACCAGCUAAAGCUUGUCGUGUGUGCUCACAGACUGCUUGCUGCGUGGUGGAUGUGCUGAGACAUUUGCAAAACUUGUGAAUUUGUACUCCUUUUACACCAGUUGCUUUUCUAAGGCUGUUUUCCAGGUGCAGCUGCAUACCUGCUACAGUAAGAGCUUGAAUGUGCUGAUUACUUCAGCAUCCUUCACAUCGCUCAGUAGUUACAGAGCUCCUGGAUAGCUGUGGUGACCAGGGCAAGUGCUUUAGUGUAACAUGCAGAUCUAUGGCUUGGUGUGGGUAUGGUUCCCUUUGAAUCCUUUAUUGAGGAAGGGUUCCUGAAACAACAGUGCUGCUUGUAUGAAACCCUGUUUUGACAGCUAAUGAAAGCUUGAAUCCUUACAAUGCUGGUGGAUGCCAUUUCUGUUACAAUUAUCACCAGCAGCUCUGCAAUUUGGGGAGCCAAGUUUCACGGAAAGCACGAUUACUCUAGGACUUGUUAAAAAAAAAAAAAAAAAAAAAAAAAAAAAAAAAAAAAAAAAAAAAAAAGGCAGCACUGACAAUUUAGCGUAUUUGCUUCCCAGAACGUGCUGCGUGAGCCUGAGCUGACAUGUGUGAGAGCAGGUGGCCGCUGUCAGCGCUGGGGCAGCAUGGGGAGGAACCCUGCUGCUGCUUUCCAGCUCCUUGGGCAUUGUGUGCGCGUUGCACGCCGUCGCUUGGUGUCCCCAGCUACUGCUGAGAGUGCUGGUCUGCCUCGUGCUGGGAAGUCCUCAGCUCUUCAGCUAAUAGGCAUCACUGCUGGCAUUGCUUCAUUGCAGAGCUUGGAUGUGAAAUCAAUCAUUCAGUAGGUACAGCAAGGAAGGGAGCUGAGAACAAGUAGGAGAUGGAAGGAGGGGAUAGAAGAAAUCACAUUCAUUAACCGGGGUGAUGUCGAACUGCUCUUUUUCACUUGUUUCCUGGUUACAGGAGAGGGCAGACGCUCUGAGCAUCGCUCUUACUUGCUGUUUGACAGGCUUAUCUGUGUGUACGUGUACUUGUGCAAGCCUGUGAAUGGUUAGUAAAAUUUUUUAAGUUGUGGGUCAAACCUGCCCAAGUUAGCAGCGAGCAAAGCUGCUGGGGCAUGCAGCCCAGCGUGUGGCUGGUCGUUCCCUCUUCCUCACCACCGCUGUGCAAGUAACAGACACCGUCCACAUUUCUGCUUGGCAUCUUUCCCUGUAUUUGUCCUUCUGAUCUUGUGUUUGUGACCUCCCCUACUGCUUUGCUGUUGAGCCGCGGAAGUGGAUGAGGUGUGGGGCCCGUGGGCUGCUGCCACGAGGAGGCAGAGCUUGCAUCCCUGCCCCAGCUGGGCACCGCUGCUCCGAGCACGUGGGGAAGGAGAGCGGCUGCAGCAGCGCACCAGAAAGGAGAUUGAUCUUCUCAGAGGUUUGAAUACCCAAGUCCAUUAGAGUUUCCUGGGAAAUAUCAGCUCAGAUUCAUGCUGGCGUACCUUGGAAAUCUUUUAAAAUUAAGUACCAAAAAUCAAUGCGUUGCAAGACUCCCAGCAUGUAAUUCUGAACCCAUUAGGAGAUUUGUGCUAAUUUUGAAAAUAAUCUUUCUAUUUUAACUGUUACUUUGAACGUAUUUUGAAAGUAUUUUGAACUUGUGUAUCUGGCAGAAAGGGAACAAUUAAAGGAAAGAUUACAUUGUAUUACUUUAAUUGUGAUGGAUUGAAUCAUUUGCUGAAGGAAAGUAUCUACAAAGCGUAUCUAAGUGCAGAAGCGAAAAUGAAAAUGAAAAUUGGUCUCAGCUGUUCCACUCCCCAUGACAAAUGUGUAUUUAUGUAAUCCAUCCCUUCUCAUAUCUUGAUAGCACUGCGCACACAGUGCAUGAAUUAAUUCUACUGAGAACUGCGGUGAGAUUAUCUCUGAGCCCAUGUAAGCACAAGGAAUCCACCUUUACUCUCAGGUCCCCUAUAUAUUUAGUGUGGCUGUUGCUGGUGCUUGCUCCCACCAGCAGUGCCAAGGCCAGGCAGUGGAGGUUGAGGCACUGGGGGUUUGGUGACAGCCCUUGAUUAGCUGGUAGUUUUCUCUUUGAAGGAGCACUUCUUAGAAAGCAGCUGUAGGUGGUUUUCCAGCUGCUCCACAUUGGGACAAAACUUCUCUUAGGAGUGAAAUUUUGGUCUAAGAGCUUCCUGUGCUGGCAGUUUGGGGAAGAAAAACAAACCUGCCAUUGAGAGUGGGAAGAAUUCACCGAUAGCUAUGAGACAGGCUCACCCUGGAGGGCAGGGAAGGAGAUCUUGAGCCCAUAUGGUCUUAUUUUACCCUGGUCCCACUGAUGUAUUUUAAUCACCGUGCAGGUCUGGAUGAAAAGCAGUGCCUCAAAAAGGCUGGGUUUGGAGAUAGGGUGUGCGGUAUCUUGACAGAGAGUCGUUUAUAUCUACCUGUAUGAUGUACAGACAGUGCCUUAAUUCAUGCUGUCCUCUCACCACCAGUUAACUGUAAUUGUUAAUGGCAGGUUCAGUAACAGCGUCCUGCACAACUGCACUAAUUGCAAAUCCUGGAUCUCACUGGAAGCGAAGUCCCCUCCCUCGCAGGAGGGCUGCGAAGCUGCCGCUGCCGGUGGACACUGCUGCUGCAUCUUGGAAGCUGUAAGAGGUCGAAGGAAUAGAGUCUAACACCUGCCGUAAGCCCUGUCUCGGAAUUUAGCUGGCUAAGGUUGCUUUGGUUCUCUCGCCUUAAUUUUUGUGGCUCGGCAUUACCUGCAGCUGUACUGCGUGAGGGCCAAGCACUCAUCACCCCCAGUGGUGCUGUCAGCUGCAAGUGCUCGAUACCUCUUGGGACGGGCAGGAAAGCAAGCAAUACUCCUAGCCGAAGGUCUGCUUUGUGCAGGCAGUUCCCGUGUUUUCUGACCCACCCAGCCCAGCAUGUACUUCAGAGGAUCUGAAGACGUUUAACUAGACUUGGAAGUAGACUGUGUAAUGGAGCGUGAAAAAACAUUUUAGUCUGACCAUGUGCUCUAUAAUAUCAGAUCAAUCAGCCAUCUGGCUUGGGAAAAUGGAAUCAUCUUGAUUACCGAAGUGUGCGGAUCCCUCUGGGAGCUGCAGUUAGCUGCUGAGCGUCUCUGAAGAGUGCCCUGCUCUCCUCGCAUGUCCUUCACAGCAGCCUGCUGACAAGUCUCGACACAAGACAGACACAAAUCAAUAGCGUGUUUUUAAAUGUUACUGAGAUGGAAUUUCAGGGAGCCUUCAUGUUAAUGUCAUUUGGCACUUACAUGGAGUAAACAGCAGACGAGGAAAAGCAGACUUGAAUUUGGCUCCAAGAGAGUGAUGCGAAUCCAGGCCCGGCACCUAUUUAACUCCCUGAGGUGUGCUGUGGAAAGGAGAUGGCCUGUGCUUGAGCUGUAAAACUGAUUGGCUCCAGAGUUGGAUUUGUUGUGCAGGUACAGUUGGUUUACAGCACACGUGGUCAGCCUGACCCUUCCCAAAAGAGAUCUGAGCAUCACCACUGAUUUCGGCAUUCAGAGCUGCUGGAGUGUGACAUAUUCCACGAUUCCUCCCUGCCCGGCUGGUGAAAGCACUUCUCUGCUCCAGAGCGAGCCCCGCGACCCGGCACUUCCCUGAAACAAAGAGCUGGAGACAGACGGCGCCCGCAGGACUCAUCCUAAUGGGAGCCAAUUUCGGGAGAAAGCCUAGGCUGUGAUUUUGAGAUCUUUGGUGUUGGUUUAAAUGAGCUCUGCGAGUCCCAGGGAGGAGACUAUUUCUGGGUCUGAGCUCCUGUAUAUAUUUGGUUCAGCUCUGUUCUACUCCGUUGUGCUCAUAGGACCCUUUCCAAAAUCCAGGCAGUUCAUCCAUUUGUUUCUGCAGCCAAAGAGGGCUCCUGUUAUAGUGGAAUCCAUCUGAGAGGCAGCAGGAAGAGGAUCGCAAAUGCUGGGGCAAAACUUCUGUGUCAUCCCUCUGAAGCCCUUUGAUACCCUUCUUGGGAGCUGGACAACACGUGCUCUUGCUAGUCUGAGGCUGUCAUCUUCUGAGCAGGGCUGUCAGCACCAUGAGCCCUGAGAAUGCUGUUUACGUGUUUGCAUCAUUUUUAGCUAAGCGUUUAGAGCACUAAGAAUUUAAAGUGCUUUUAAGUUCUUCUCUCCACUGGAAACAGCAAGUACCUCAUUUUUUACUGAUCUCUGUUUAUAUAAUAAGUGAACAUAUGAAAUGCUAAAGCAGUUUCCAGAACUGUUUGCAUAAGAACUGUUCUAGUAAUAUUAUAAGCAAUAAUAUUUACCAGCUGGGCAAUGCAGCAGUUUUAUACAGCGUAAUAUUUAUUUGUCAGUAGACAGGAGGAAUCAAUGUAUUUAAAUAACACAUCAUUGGCACUGCAUUCAUACACAUACAUAAUUACAAUCAAUAAUCAACUGAGCUCUCUGUUCUACAGAAUCAUUUUCACAAUAAAUGUCAGUAUCUAACUCUAGUUACGUGUGCUUACAGUUAAACCAAUCAACCAUAAAGUACAAAUACACAUAAGGAUAUAUUAAUUUACAAGGAUGUUUAUAAAUAUAUGUUUAUGGUCUACCUGACCGAACCACUUGAACAAAGCUCUGAUGCAAGUUUUUUUUUUUUUAAACAGCAUCACUGCUAAGAAUUUAUUUGUACAUUGUGAGAGCAUUUGAGAGUUCAGGUACCCCUGUCUAGCUUCCCAUAUUCAUUUCCAUGUUUCUGCUCCUCUAAGGAAGCUCUCAGAGCUCCCCUAGGUUACCUCAAGUAACAACAUUCUGGUGAGCAAGGUUGUUAAAACAGUAUCGACUUGCUAUGCCAAUAACAUAUGGAAAAAUAUUUUUUUUCAGCAUUCCCUGACACAGGGCAACAUUUGCCAUUUUAAUAUUGUGACUUGAGCCAUUUUAAGUAUUUCAUAUUGCACAGUGAAUGUGUCACUCACACUGGAGUCCAUAAUGCUAAUGUAUUACAAAUAAGCAACUCUUUUUGUCUGAUCCUAUGCCUAUUAAAGUCAAUUCACUCCUAUUGAUUUGUCUGGAAAUUAGAAAUCAGACUGCGUAUAAAGUGAGUGGCUUUAAUAAGAGAACGUACAGCGUGGAGGGUGACGUCCUGACGCAGUGCUGGUACUCUGUUCAUUUAGCCAUGAAUUUUAAAAGUAGAGCAUUAAGAGAAGAGAUACUUGAUAACUGAAAGCUCAGAACAGCCAUGGAGUAUCAGCACUUCAGUCAAAUGACAGUGUAAGGAAGAAAUGACAAGAAAUCAAGGCACAAGUGUUAUUAUUCGCGUUGGAUCGUGAAGCAGGCUCACUGCUCAGAGAGCUUCCACCUGGUAACGAAGAACCCUCUUAUGCCGAGAAUCAGACUGGAAAAAUUGAUUGCUUAACUCCGAUCAGGAUGUCAGGAGUAGACAAUUGGUGUCACAAAAAGCGAGAGUAACCUUUUUUUCCAUUAACCAUUUAAUGUCACAGAAAUGUACUGCCUAAGUGCUUACAGAGACAGUGAGGGGAGGCCACCCAGCAGCACUCCUGGCCUUCCUGAGGUCACAAGAGUUUCUGCCGGCCUUCUGACUGCAUAAUUUAGAGUAGCAUUUAUUCUGUGGCUGCAUUUAAACCAUUUUUGGGCCUGAAACUAGAAACACCUUUACUGUAAAUCUAAGCAGACUUGGGCAUGUCAGUGGGAUGGCAGCAGUGGUAUGGGAGCCGCUUAGGCCAAGUUCAUGCACAGGAAUCUCAGCUGGGCCUCAAACACUAAAUCCUGUCUGAGCUGUUUGCAGCAAGGAGAGCAGAGUGAUCUUAACUUUCGUGUCAAAUACUGAUGAAUUGGAGUAUAUUGUGAGCAUCAUGUGCUUGUGAAUUGUUUUAAUCACGGGUCCUGAAGCUGUAAACAGUGCUCAAGUAUGCGAAAGACUGUGGUAGAUAGAGACUGGUGUCCCAAAUUCAGAGCGAGCUGGCUGGUAACCCAGCUUCUAGCAGCUUUUGCUCUCAGUUAAGCAAGUGGAACGGAGGUAAUUACCGUACCCUGGAGUCCCACCCUGUACAGCAGGGAACAAACUCCAUCGUGUCCCCGUCACCAGGAGCACGCAGCAGGCGCUGUUUGUGCACGGUGUGUCAGCAGCGCUGCUGGCUGCCAGGCACUGCCUGCUGCUUGCUUGGAUGCCUCUUGUGCUGGGCAAGCAGACGGUGGGCAUCAGCAGUAAGGGGAGCCAGUGAUUGAACUGACUGAGGGCUGGAGUUAAUGGAAAUAAUUAAUGCUAAGAUACACUCAACAGGCAGAUCAUCAAUUGUUACUAGGUCUGUAGCUGUCUCCUGGUUUUCUUUCUGUAAUGCAGAAGGCAGGUGUUUAAGCCAUGUAUUAAUGCACUCUACUUCACAGGCAUUAUAUUUAAUCUGAUAAAAAAAAAAAAAAAGCUAUUUUAUGCCAAAACUAAUUCAUACCUGUCACUCAAAUACUUGAUUACCAUGUCACUAAUUCUUCCAUUCUUACUCUUGUGAGUACCACUGGCUCAGGACUUUAGUGGGAUCAGGCCCUUAUAGGUUUCAAUGAGGUCUUCUUGCUCAGCAGGAAUCAGGAAGCACUUGACAAUCCAGCAUUUUUGUAAGAGCUUGUGAGGCUCUUCUCACAGCUCCUCUGAUGAGUACUGUGAUGCUGACAGAUUGCACUAAUGUUGUAGAAACAGAAGAAGAGAACUGUGACCUGACUGAAUCUUUUAAGAACUCCAUGAAUACAGAAAAGGCUGGUCCCUGGCCAAAGGAAUUCUCUCUUACUGAGAAUAAAUAAUAACAUGGAAAGCUCAAUGCCUGAAGUGAACUCUUCAAAUUUCUGUUUUAAGAUCUCUUAAGCAGUGAUGCCCUCCUGUGGAUCUCGGUAGUAUGCUUUCUACUGGAAUAAAU